AAAGGGAGACCUAAUUCAGGUAUGGGACGAAAAAAAAGUAGUCCCUACCAAGAAUCAAUCCCAAAAGGUCGGAACGAGGUGUGUGGCUUUCAAACUAGGUUCUGGGUUCAUAAAAGACCUGAAUCAGGAACAAGGGCUAUUAGCUCAGGUGGUUAGAGCGCACCCCUGAUAAGGGUGAGGUCCCUGGUUCGAGUCCAGGAUGGCCCACCUGCACAGGUGGCAAAAACAAGAGAAGCGAGGAAUCAGCACCUUAUCUUACUGAUAUAGUAAGAGAGAAUGCUGGCUCUGAGUAAAGAGUCCAGAGGAACCUUGAAAACUGCAUAGAGCUAGGUGAAAAAGCCAAAAAAGAAGACCGCAAG
rnacentral:tRNA from 1 species